GACGAACGCUGGCGGCGUGCUUAACACAUGCAAGUCGAACGAUGAAGCCUUUCGGGGUGGAUUAGUGGCGAACGGGUGAGUAACACGUGGGCAAUCUGCCCUGUACUUUGGGAUAAGCCUUGGAAACGAGGUCUAAUACCGGAUAUGACUGGCCUUCGCAUGGGGUUGGUUGAAAGUUCUGGCGGUACAGGAUGAGCCCGCGGCCUAUCAGCUUGUUGGUGGGGUAAUGGCCUACCAAGGCGA
rnacentral:rRNA from 1 species